GGGGGUAUCCAAAGAAGAAAUAGGUAGACAUUUGACUACUAAGGAAAAAGAUCUGACACCAGAACCACCCCCUACAAUACAUUUUGUACAUGUAGCAACAAUGCUCCAGUUGCACAAAAGAAACAGAAGAAGUCCCUGGUAGCUACAUGAAGAGACAUUUAAUUUAAGAUUGAAUAAAGAUGUACAUGUAAUUUUAAUUUUUAAUAGAAAUGUUAUGGCAAUGUUAUGGUAUUGUUUAUUUGAAUUGAUAAUAUCAAAAGU
rnacentral:lncRNA from 1 species